rnacentral:tRNA from 1 species
GUGGAUGUAGUUCAAUUGGCCUAGAACGCGAGCUUGCCAGGUUCGAGGCUGUGGGUUCGAAUCCCAUCAUCCACACCA